rnacentral:rRNA from 1 species
UACGAAGGGGGCUAGCGUUGCUCGGAAUCACUGGGCGUAAAGGGUGCGUAGGCGGGUCUUUUAAGUCAGGGGUGAAAUCCUGGAGCUCAACUCCAGAACUGCCUUUGAUACUGAAGAUCUUGAGUUCGGGAGAGGUGAGUGGAACUUGCGAGUGUAGAGGUGAAAUUCGUAGAUAUUCGCAAGAACACCAGUGGCGAAGGCGGCUCACUGGCCCGAUACUGACGCUGAGGCACGAAAGCGUGGGGAGCAAACAG